UUACACCUCCUCGGCAGUGUAUUCCCGGCUUCGAUUCAUUAGCCCUGUAGAGGCUCUAUGGUUGAUCUGUGGCAGUAGACAGUGCCACUGUACGGUGCCAGCAAUAUCUUCGGGCAGUGGGUCAUCCAAGGUAGUCGAUAGAUGAUACCAGUA